rnacentral:misc_RNA from 1 species
AAAACCAGUAAAAAGGAAGGGGUGAAAAAAGGCAAGAAAUAAACUGAAAAGGGAAUUCCUACUCAACUUAUUAGUGUACUAUAUGUUCUUUAUAACAUCGACCUGAUAUCCAAACAACAACGUAAAGGAAACACGGUUCGAUUCCAGAUGAAUCAACACCAUUAGGCCAAUCUACUUAGUUCGCGACUUCAGACCACACGAACCAUUCUCAUAUAAUGGACUCCAAGCUACAUGUCAAUUGCUCGAACCUACUCAUUUGUUAGUGCCUCGGCUACCCAAAUCAGCUGCAGCUUGAGCCGCUUUACUUAGUGCACCAGACAUCCAAAGAGCUCCUUUGGAAAAGUAGCUACUGUUGACAACAGCAGUUGCAGCAGAGAUGGCAGUUCUACCUGUAGCUGAAACAGCUGAUCUGGUGGUAUCUGAUAUGUGAUACCUCUGAUCCACGGACCUAGCCACUUCAACCCCGGCACAGAACUUGUCAGUGAGGCCGAUUCUCUCACUUAAAUCAGCAACCUUGGAGACUGCAGUUGCUGACAGCCCAUGAGAUUCGUCAAAAGCUUUGGCUUUUCCCAAUGCGCCUUUACCAAGAACAUACCCUUGAGAUAGCAUGGUUUUAACCACAUCUUGAGUCAAUGUUACAGCUUCCCCAGCAGAAGAAACAAAAUGGUGUCCUUGGGAGUCACUUGAAUGACAGUCUUCUUGAGGUUUCCAUGAUGAAUGAUUCCAAUAAUCAAAUUCAUCUUGAUAGUGGCCCCAGCUGGUUAUGCACACACGUUGAUCCAAAAUGGCAGCCCCACUCAGUAAGACAGCCGUUUCCAAUGCAUGAGGAUUUCUAAACGUCACAUAGGCUGUACUUGCAUGUUCACCAGCUCUGACAAUCUCAACAUGUUCAAUUGCCCCACAGAAAGCAAAGAACUCCUGAACAUCCUUCUCAGUAGCAGCAGGGGAAAGACCUGUAACUUCUACUGUAUAACCCCCUGGAUUCAUAUCUUCGCUUGUGUUGAGAUGAAAAGUGUGAGAAAAAGGAGUCGGUAUGAAAA